rnacentral:rRNA from 1 species
AUGGAAGAUGACGAAGAAGUCGGCGCGUUCGGGCGCCGACUCACCGCGCUCGUCGCAGAAAUUCGAGCACUUGGCGAGAACUUGCAGGAGCACGCCAUUGUCAAGCGGCUGUUCGCGGCGGUCCCGGAUCGCUUCCUGCCGAUAAUCGGGACAAUCGAGCAAUUGGGCGACGUCAAGAAGAUGUCGGUCGCCGAGGCCAUUGGGCGGCUGCGGGCGUUCGAG